GGGGGAGCUAGUUUUCAAGCUUUUGCAAGGUUACCAGUUCGGUUUUCAUUGGAGGUUUUUGAAGAUCAGGGGAUUGAAGAGGAGCUUGAUGCUUCGGGUCCGGGAAGAAAAGACAGAGAAUUGGGUUUUUCUUCUUCAUAAGGUUUCGGGAAGACUGAGGCAAUCGUUGCUGAAGUCAGUGUUGUAAUGGUGAAUCGGGAUUUUUUUUAAUGAAGUGGGUUUGAUUACUCUUGACUGUUUUGUGAAAUUGAGUUACGUCUGUGAUUGAAGAAUUAAAAGGAUGUCUAUAGGAUUGAGUAUGCAGAGUGCAUGAAAUUUAUUGGGUUAAUCUAACAAGACAAUCAGUGGAUACAAGAUCCUAAGUACAAAGCGGUAUCGGAGAUUAGCAGAUUGGGUUGUUCGGGGUUCUCUGUAACGUCUAGAGACCUACCGGCUGGGGCAAAAAGGACUUCGACAAGCAGUCAAAGGGCAUCCGUAUAGAUUUACGGUGUAUUCUUACAGUCGUUUAUAUUCCAGCAGUCAAAAACUGAUAGACUGCUUGACUAUUGGCGAAUCUCCGUACUACCUUCUACAGCCAGACGCCCGGCGCGUUCUCGAGAAGGAAAGCACGUAAUACGACAUAAGUGGUGAACCCGACGUGAAAGUUUGAGGUAGAAGGUAUUGGAUUUCGGUUGAUUUUAUCUUUAUUUUUAUGGAAAACGAAAAUAAAAAUUUUGAAGGAUUUUUGGGAGAAAUUUCUGGUGGGGAGUCUUCUAAAGGACAAGGUAUGCACAUGGAUCCGUCUAUUGCUAGUUUGUUUCAAGCCUUCUCAUUGUCAAUGCAGCAACAACAAAGCAAUGAUCGAAAGGAAGCUUUGGCAACCAAAGCAUUGCAAGCAGUGGUCAAUAAAAUUGAUCAAUUUGAUGGGAGGAAUAUUUCAAGGUAUUUAAGAUGUUAUGUUCGUGAAAUGGAAUUAAAUCGGGUUUCUGAGAAAAAAAUGGUUGCACUAUUUGGACUUGCCACAAUACCGGAGAUAAGGGACCACAUUACAUUGAUUACGGAUCGUUGUGGGAAUUCAUGGGAGGAUUUUUCACAUGUAUUGAAAGACGAAUAUUUCUUGGAAGAUGCUGAUUGCGUUACUAGAAGCUGUUUCUGGGAUGGAUUGAACGGCCCAAUAAGAAUUUGUAAGCAAGAGAGCUACUAAGGGAAUUUGAGAGGCAGUACUCUCAAUUAUCGAAGGUAGAAAAAUUGACAUUGGAGCCGAACAAAGUUGAUCUAUUUCUUCAAGCUGCUGAUGGAGAAUUGUAAGAGAAAUUAGAACCCCUUCUUGAAGACAAAGAAGAAGAUGAAGGAUUGACAACGAAGUGGAAGAACGUUGAAGAUGCGGUGGGGUUGCUUACAAAAAAAGAAAAGAAGAAGGAUAGGAGUAAUAUUCCGAAAACAGUACAAGCACCCAAAGCUCCAGUACGUACUACACCACCGACAAUGCCUACAGUUCAACCUUCGACAUCCUUGUUAAAGAAAGCAGAUAUGGAUAUGGAAGAAAUUAUACGAGGAAUGCGAGAUCUUCAAAUCAAAUUGGCAAGACUUGAAGAGAAUACUUCUAUAAACAAUUCGAAGAAUGUUUCAAAACAAGGAUAUGUACAAAGAUGCAUUUGGUGUGAUGAUGCUUCACACACUAGAAAAGAUUGCAAUGAAUUUAAUAAUAUGAUACGGCAGGGAAUUAUUUGCUGGAAAGAUGGGAAGAUAGCAUUGAAAGAUAGGGAGGAUCUUCUUCAAACCAAUUUUGGCAAGGGAGGAAUGAGAGCAUUGGUUCAAGAUUACUUAAAAGAGCAUGAAACAAUAGUACGAGAAAGUGCAAGUUAUGGUGCUAGAGUAGAUGAUGCAAUUGGUGGAAGUACGGAAACUAGUGAGUUUUGGGCUUCUGCCAUUUCUACAAUGCAAGAAGGGAAAUUACCUCGAGAAGCGUUAUUGAGAACUGCAGCUACAAUACGAGGAAGAACAGGUUGGGAGGAUCCUGUUGAGUCUCUUUCAGUUCAUGCAUAUAUUGCUAAGAGCCAACAUGAAGCUUUGAUGGAAGAAAAAAGACGAGGAAAUUUUGAUGAUACUAGAGAAGGAAAUUCUUUUAAGAGGCAAACUCGAGGAGACAAGGCUCGGGAGGCAGCUUCACAAGAAUUGCCUGUAAAGGAUACCUCAGCAUCAUUGGGAGAAAAAACAAGGGAGACAAAAGAUAAGGGCAAAUCAAUUGCUUAUAAGCUACUUUCUGACAUUCAAGCGGCAACAAAUUUGAAAGGGGUGUUGGAAGAACGUAUAUUAAACGCUAAGAUGGAAUUCACAUUGAAAGAAGUCUUGGGAAUUGCAAAGAAGGAGUUUCAUGAUGUUAUCAUUGACAGCAUUAAGCGAAAGAGGCAAUUAAUGAGCGAAACUGGAAUGAAUCAUGCUAUUGAUGCAAGAGUAUGUAGAGAUGAAGAAGAGGUUGAUAUUGGUUACAAGCAACCAACAAAUGAAAAGAAUGGGUAUAAUCAGCGAGUACGUUUCGAAGAUUCUAGUGACAAGGGAGUGGAAACUUUGAGCCAUUAUACUCGAAAGCAUUGGGCAAGGGCAACUACUGAGGUAUUGGUGAAGGUAGGAGAUAUAGAAGAACCAAUAGUUGCUUUGGUGGACCAUGGUUCUGAAAUAAAUCUCAUGUCUAAAGAUCUUUAUAAGAAGCAAAAAUGGCCAAUUGAUAUGGAACAUGGAUGGGCAAUACGAGCAGCUAAUAACACACGGGGCGAAUUAUAUGGAGCUUGUCCAGAUGUCAAAAUUCGGAUUGGGGAUGUUGCGACGGAGCAACAUUUCUUUGUUCAAGAUACAACGUCUUAUCCAUUGAUUUUAGAACAACCUUAUAUUUUGGCAAUACGGAUGGAAACAAAAGUACUUGACGAUGGUUCUGCUUAUGCAAGGGUAUGGAGUGAAGAUGGGAGGAAAGCUGUACAAUUUCUAACAAUACCUCCUAACCAUGAACGGAAUCGAGAUAGGUUGAGGGAGAAACCAUUGCCAAAGAUUGUUGAAGGAUUUAAGGAUUAUGGGGAGGUACCACUGUAAAGCGAGAUUAUGGAGGUACAAAAGAGGAGGUACUCUCACGAGAUGAAGGUGCCUUUGAUGUGAGUUUUAUUGGUAUUUUGGAGAAUGGAAAUAUUAUGUAUAAGAAAGUUGAUGAUUUUAAAAGAAAAGAAAGAAAAAGAUUAUAUCAUAUUGAAGGAGAAUUAUGCAAGUUAGGUACAUUGCAAGAUGAUGAGAGGAUUUUAGCUGUUUAUGAAGUAAAUGGAAUGAAAGAUUCAUUGGAAUUGAUUACAUCUAUUGGGUUAGGGGAUAAUGAUAAGAUUGUUGAAAUUCAUUCAAGAGAGGUUUAUACCAUACUUGAAUCUUUUCAAGCACCAGAAGUCAUUGUAGAGACGACAUAUAAAACGACAAAUAAGAAGGUAAAGCCUAUUGCCGGACCAUUACUAGAAGAUUCUAAAGAACAAAUGAGAGAAGCAUCAAAAGAAGCAAGUUUAAGAGAUCCAAUGAGUAUUGGACAUCAGUUUACUGAAGAGACUUUUGAAGAAUUGAAGAUUGGUUCUGAUGGUUCUUUAUUGCCGGAGGAAAUUACUUGCUUCAAAAAGAUGUUGGCUAAACAAGAUAGAUCGUUUGCCUUCGAAUCUCAUGAAAUUGGGUGUGUGGAUCCAAAUAUUAUAACACCUAUGGUUAUCUUCACUGUACCGCAUGUACCUUGGAAUCUAAGACCAAUUCCAGUACCGAGGACUCAUUUACCUAAAUUGGUGGAACUAUUGAAAGAAAAGAUAAAGAUAAAACUUUAGAUUCAGAUAAAGAAUUCAGGUUAUGAUCAAUUUCAACUUGCCGAAGGAAGUAGAGAUAUGACAACGAUGAGAACACCACUUGGAUUGGUUAGAAUGUGCAGUCUUCCUCAAGGCGCGACCAACUCAGUUGCGCAUAUGAUGAAUGGGAUGAAUAAGGUAUUGAGAGAUUUUAUUCCGGAAAAGACUAUGCCUUUUCUGGAUGAUGUUCCUAUAAAAGGGUGCAGAGAAGGAGACAAGGAUGAAACUUUAGAUACGAGGGGAUGUCGCAGAUAUGUUGUUGAUCAUAUACAAGAUUGUGAAAAGAUUUUAACUCGGCUUGGAAAAGUUCAUCUUACAUUAUCGGGUAUAAAGUCCAUAUUUGGAGUGCGAGAGGUUGUAAUUGUUGGACAUUUAUGCGGAUCUUACGGAAGAAAACCAGAUCUGACUAAAGUUGAUGCAAUUAGAAGGAUGAAAGAGGAUUGUGGUUCUUUAACAUAGGUUCGCAGGUUUUUGGGUGCAUGUAUAUUUUAUCGAAUCUGGGUCCCUCAUUUUGCUCACAUAGCGGAUCCAUUAUAUGAACUGUUACGCAAGGGUUACCGAUUUGAAUGGAAAGAAAGGCAUAUUCAGGCAAUGCAAAGAUUGAAGAAAUUAUUGAUGUCACCUCCAAUAUUGAGGAAGGUUGAUUAUAAGUGCAAUAGACCAGUGAUUCUUACUGUAGACGCUAGUCCAAUUGCCGUUGGAUGGGCGGUGGGUCAAGAUGAUUCAAGUGGAAAUAGAUUUGCAGUUUGAUUUGGGGCUAAAGUUUUAAGUAUUCGUCAGCGUGCAUAUUCGCAAGUCAAAAGAGAACUUUGGGGAGUCGUUUCGGCUAUGAAAGCUGAAAACGACUAUUUGAUUAGGGCAGUAGUAGUAAUUGAAACAGAUUGCUUGCCAUUGCUUGGAAUGAUUAUUAACUGUUCAACGCCAGAUAUUGCAAUGUUGAGAUGGAUUGCUUAUAUUAAGUCACUAAAUCCUGAAUUUAAGCAUAUCACUGGAAAGGACAAUUUAGUAGCAGACAUGCUAUCUCGAGCAAGAUACGAGAGGGAGGACGAAAUGGUUGAAGACAUUGAUGACGUCGGAUUCAAAUUCUAUUCAAUAUCAAAUUUCAACAAAGAAGACAAGCUAUUUCUUGAAGAAUCUUAUGAAGGAGAAUUAUUGGAUAUUGGUCAUUACUUGAAUACCUUGACUAAGCAGGGGAAUUGGUCUACAGAAAAAUUCAAACAAAUAAGAAAAAAAAACAUACGGAUUUUUACUUUGAGAUGGAUUCUUAUGGAAGAGACCGAAGAAAGGAAUUGGAAUGCGACGACGAGUGAUAGGCAAAAAGGAAGAAAAACUAAAAUUAUUAAAGGAGUUUCAUGAUAGUUAUCAGUAGUGCAUAGAGGAAUCUAGGCUACUUUUGCUAAACUCAAGGAACGAUAUUGGUGGAAAAAUAUGUACCAAGAUGUGCUUUCAUUUGUAGAGUCAUGUGAAAUCCGUCAAUCGUAUUCUAAUAUCUGACAUCGAGAUGGUCUUCAUCCUACGUAUCCUCUGGCUAUUCAUUUUAAAUGGGUUGUUGAUUUGGUUAUUAUGCCAGUUGGGUUAUGGCAGAUGAGAUAUUUGGUUUUAGCUCGUGAAGAUUUAUCAAAUCAAGUAGAAGGAAGAGCAUUGAGGACAAAAUCUACAUAGGGAAUUUGUAGGUUUUUGCUUGAAGAUGUCAUUUGCUGCUACGGAUGCGUAAGAAAAAUCACUGCAGAUCGUGGAGAAUUAAAUGCAAAAGAAGCUCGUAAGUUCUUUGAAAGAUGUGGAGUUAAACUAUCAUUGACUACUGCUUAUAAUCCGGAAGGGAAUGCAAAAAGCGAACGCGAUCACCCAUCGAUUGUGAAAGCAUUAGUUAAAGCUUGUAAUCGAAAACUUAGAGAGUGGCCACGGCUUUUGUCAUUUGCAUUAUGGGCUGAUCGAACAACACAUAGUUCGGUGACAGGAUAUAUGCCAGUAGAACUUAUGAUAUGUCGAAAACCAAUUAUGUCGAUUGAAGAAAAGGUACUUACUUCGAGUAUGCUACCAUGGGAAGAUGGAUUGAUAAGAGAAGAACUUCUGGCUAUUAGGAUUCGACAAUUGGAGCAAAGAACGGAAGAUGUCCAGAUAGCAUUGGAAAGGAUAAAAAGAGCAAGGUUACAAAACAAGGCGCGAUUCGAUAAGCAACAUCGAUUGAGACCAAAAGCAAUCGAGGAAGGUGACUGGGUACUUGUUUAUGACAAUAAUCUGGAUAAUCAACAUAGUACCUUGCGGAAAUUUUCAAAACGUUGGUUUGGACCAUAUGUUGUAAUAACUGUUCAUGAUAAUGCAACUUACUCAUUACGGGAGUUAGAUGGUACAAAAUUGAAAAUACCAAUUGCAGGGAAGCGAGUAAAAAUAUUUAAACAAAGACACGCAGAGAUAAACAUGGAAGACCUUAAUGAAGGUAUAGAGAUUCCGCAGCAAGAAGAUGAAAGUGAUAUGGAUAAUGAAGAUGACGAAGACGAACUGGACAAAGACGUAGGGAAUAUAUUCUGAAUCAAACAGCAAUUGGGUAAAUUGGUGCAUACCGGAGGAUGCACAGGUUCAGAAGGGGUGAAUGUCGUGUUGUAACACGAGUAUACAGUGAAAAUAAAAAGAAAGGAGAAUUUUAUUAAUAUUCAAUUACCUCGAAUAUUGGGAGCAUCGAUCAACUCCAGUACAAAUACUGAGUGGUCAGGUUCAGUCACUCCGUUACAGUCAGCCGGGGCAUACUGAAAUGCUCCAUUCGAUUCCAAUAACGGGAGUCAGCAGGAAGAGAAGGACCAAUUCACACGACGGGUUUGAGGAGCCAAUUGGAUCCAAUUUCGAUAAUCCAAUCCGGGUCCUCUUAUCCAAUAUGAGACCUGAAUUGGCCGGUCAACCCAAUGCAGUCUAAUUACGGGAAAUCCAAGUCUUACUUCGGGUCUUAGCCAAUCUGAUGCAAGGACCAAUUUGACCCAAUUACGGGAACAUCCAGGUUACUACGGGCAUCUUUCCCAAUAUAGGACCUGAAUUGGUCGGGCGACUCAAUGUGGUCCCGAUUACGGGGUUCGAUUCUGUUUCAGGCUGUCUUGUUCUCUGUGCCGUUUCAGGAAACGUUGUUUUCGGUAAAUGGAUUUCUUAAAGGUAAAAACGGAGGAGAAAGCAUGACGACGAGAGCUAAUUUCGGAUCCAAGCUUGAGGUGGGAGCCAAUUCCGAAUCUAAGAUGGAAGAUUGAAGAAAUUCAGAGGUUUUUGAAGAACAGGGGAAUCGAGGGGGGGAGCUAGUUUUCAAGCUUUUGCAAGGUUACCAGUUCGGUUUUCAUUGGAGGCUUUUGAAGAACAGGGGAAUCGAGGAGGGGAGCUAGUUUUCAAGCUUUUGCAAGGUUACCAGUUCGGUUUUCAUUGGAGGUUUUUGAAGAUCAGGGGAUUGAAGAGGAGCUUGAUGCUUCGGGUCCGGGAAGAAAAGAAAGAGAAUUGGGUUUUUCUUCUUCAUAAGGUUUCGGGAAGACUGAGGCAAUCGUUGUUGAAGUCAGUGUUGUAAUGGUGAAUCGGGAUUUUUUUUAAUGAAGUGGGUUUGAUUACUCUUGACUGUUUUGUGAAAUCGAGUUACGUCUGUGAUUGAAGAAUUAAAAGGAUAUCUAUAGGAUUGAGUAUGCGGAGUGCAUGAAAUUUAUUGAGUUAAUCUAACAAGACAAUCAGUGGAUACAAGAUCCUAAGUACAAAGCGGUAUCGGAGAUUAGCAGAUUGAGUUGUUCGGGGUUCUCUGUAACAUCUAGAGACCUACCGACUGGGGCAAAAAGGACUUCAACAAGCAGUCAAAGGGCAUCCGUAUAGAUUUACG
rnacentral:lncRNA from 1 species